GACUUUCCCAUUCCACAGUAUGAUUUCACAUUCGAAAAACCUCUAUUCUUUUCUGAAAGUGAUUCUAACAGAAAGUUGACCCAGGGAAAUUUUAGCAGCAUGUUAGGCUGCUGGGUAGAACCCAUUUUAGUUCUGUCUUUCAGCCUAGCACACUCCACAUUCUCAGACAUCGCUUCUUGAGAGUGUACUAACCAUCAACUAUCAUUUCACAAUGGAGAAGGGUAGGCUGGAACUUGGAUGUGCAUUGGCAGGUCUGCAUUGGCAGACCAGAUGUCACCAUACAGACAACAAUAUCCUACAGGACAGAAAAGCUUGAAAGUAAAAGAAACUUUGGUGUUUGAAUAAACCACACAUUUGUCCUGGACAACCUGCCUAUCGUUGAACUGUUACAUGAGAGAAAAAGAGAUUUCUCUCUUAUUUGAACAAUUGCAUUUUCAAGUCUUUUUGUUACAGCAGCAUAACUGAUACCCUAACCCUGACAAAUACAUUUUUAAACAAAAGGAGGAAUGCUACUAUCGUACUCUAUGCUGGUCCAGUCUUACUUGGGGUGCAGUAUUCUCAUCUGUGAAUCACAUUUCAAGGGGCCUAAAGACAAAGUAGAAGUGUUCAGAUAACAGCAACAUGAUUGGUGAGAAAUUCAAAGUUGAAGAAACUGGAAGAGCAGAUUUAGAGUAAGUAGGAGUGCCACUUUCAAAUGUCUGAGGAACUGGCCUGUGAAAGAAUGAUUCACUUUGUUCUGUGUAGUUUCAGUAGAUAGAAGUAUGGUUCAACGGGAAAACUGAUUUUGCUGAAGAGAAAGAUUUCUGGCUGUCAGGUCUGCAUAGACAUUGGAGGCACUGAGUUCCCUGCUCAUGGAGAUAUUUUUCACAGAGCCUGGAUAAUCAUUUGGCUGGAUUUGUAACAACUGUGUAUCAUACAGCAUGAAAAUGCAUUUUCUAGCUUCCCUUGAAGUGAAAUGUGAGCAAAAAUGAUGCCAGCCACUCCCAGACCGGCCCAUAGAAACCUCCCAUAUUCUUUCUUCUUCUGCUGCUGGAUAUUGACACAGGGGAUGACUUUGAAAGCUGAGUAUUGAAGAUGGCAGAAGCUGUCUUUCAGCCUUGGUCCCUGAACAACAUGUUGAGCAGAUCCCGUGGUAAUCUGGAACUGCCCUGGACUGUGUAAGUGAGUGAGACAUAAACUCUUACUAUGCUUGAGCCAUUUUACAUGUAACAGCAGUUAGCUUUCCUUACUUAAUGCUCUUUAUACCCUGCUACUAAAUAGCAAGAAUUGUAACUUUAGAUCACAGGACUAUGUGAAUAGUCAUUAUAUUUGUCAACAACUCUAACAGGCUGAACUUUUUAUUCCUCAGUUAUUUAAAAUUGUGGUAAAAUACACAUAACAUAAAAUUUACCAUCUUACCCAUGUUAAGUAUACAGUUCAGUGGUAUUAAGUACAUUUGUAGUGCUAUAUGUUCAUCACCACCAUCUACCUCCAGAACUCUUUUCAUCUUGUAAAACUGAAACUCUGUGCCCAUUAAACAGUAACUCCAUUCCCUCCUCCACACAAGCCUCUGGCAACCACCACUGUACUUUCUGUUUCUAUGGUUUUGAUUAUUCUAAGUACCUCAUAUAAGUGGAAUCAUGCACUAUUUGUCUUUUUUUGUUGUUGGCAGAUUUCACUUAGCAUACUGUCCUCAAGUUUCAUCCAUGUGUCAGAAUUUCCUUCCUUUUUGCAGCUGAAUAAUAUUCUAUUAUAUGUGUGUACCACAUUUUGUUUAUCCAUUCAUUCAUCAGUGGACACUUGGG
rnacentral:lncRNA from 1 species